GCCUGCGCUGUACCAGACCCUGCACCGUCUCUUUAACUUAGGGAAUGCUGAGGAGCCUGAACAGCAGAGGGACAGCAUCACGGGGAGAUCACAGACAACACCAUGUUGCUGAAAAACAACAUGCUUCUAGAAAAAUAAUCAGGUGA
rnacentral:lncRNA from 1 species